rnacentral:rRNA from 1 species
CUCGCAUGAGGGAGUGUGAAAAACUACGGUGGUAAGGGAUGGCCCUGCGUCCGAUUAGCUAGUUGGUAUGGUAAAGGCAUACCAAGGCAACGAUCGGUAGCCGGCCUGAGAGGGUGGACGGCCACAUUGGGACUGAGACACGGCCCAAACUCCUACGGGAGGCAGCAGUGGGGGAUAUUGCACAAUGGGGGGAACCCUGAUGCAGCGACACCGCGUGGGUGAGGAAGCGCUUCGGCGUGUAAAGCCCUAUCAGUGGGGAAGAAAAGAGACGGUACCCAAAGAAGAAGCACCGGCUAAAUACGUGCCAGCAGCCGCGGUAAUACGUAUGGUGCAAGCGUUAUCCGGAAUGACUGGGUGUAAAGGGAGCGUAGACGGUUGUUCAAGUCUGAUGUGAAAGCCCUCGGCUUAACUGGGGGAGUGCAUUGGAAACUGAAGGACUAGAGUAUCGGAGAGGCAAGUGGAAUUCCUAGUGUAGCGGUGAAAUGCGUAGAUAUUAGGAGGAACACCAGUGGCGAAGGCGGCUUGCUGGACGAAAACUGACGUUGAGGCUCGAAAGCGUGGGGAGCAAACAGGAUUAGAUACCCUGGUAGCCCACGCCGUAAACGAUGAAUACUAGGUGUUGGGGCCCGAAGGGCGUCGGUGCCGUCGCAAACGC